rfam:Klebsiella pneumoniae IS39, WGS project CBWT01000000 data, contig: c118
ACAGUGCCACGGCCGUCUGAGCUAAGGUCUGAUAAAACAAACAAAGGCGCAGAGUUCUGCGCCUUUUUU